ACACAAAUGUUGUCGGCCAAUAUAUGAUUAAUACUAAACCCGGUAAAAAAAUAACAUAAGGUUCCUAGUAUUAAUCGCAAAUAACACAAUCAAACACAUUCCAGAAUCUAGCAUAAAGACUAAUUCCAGAAUACCUAACUAUCCACAACUUAGCGAUAUCAUCUAAGCAUUCAGCAUUUGCUAACUAACCAAUCAACCUAACCAUUACCAUGCUACUAUGGUUCUCAAGCAAUAACUAAGCAUGCUAUCAACUCAAUCAACCAAACCUCAACUAUUAACUAAUCAAACAGUACUCAGUUAGACCCGGCCUCCUUCCAUGAUCCAACUUCUAAGUAACGGGAACCUGAAUAAAAACAACUAAGCAAUCAAUCGAUUAUAACUCACUGUUCUUUGGCUGAACGUGGCCUUGACCCCAAACCCGACUUCUGCGAUCUGACUUGUCCGACCUUCACAAGUAGACCCACGUCUGGACUGAUCUCUACUUGAAAUGAUCCUUCUCCAGGUGC
rnacentral:lncRNA from 1 species